rnacentral:rRNA from 1 species
UACGAAGGUGGCAAGCGUUGUUCGGAUUUACUGGGCGUAAAGGGAGCGUAGGUGGUGGGGUAAGCCCCGCGGGAAAGCUCCAGGCUUAACCUGGAAAGGUCGCGGGGGACUGCUCCGCUCGAGGACGGGAGAGGAGCGCGGAAUUCCCGGUGUAGCGGUGAAAUGCGUAGAGAUCGGGAGGAAGGCCGGUGGCGAAGGCGGCGAUCUGGGCAGACACUGACGCUGAGGUGCGAAAGCGUGGGGAGCAAACAGG